GAUGAACGCUAGCGGCAGGCUUAAUACAUGCAAGUCGAGGGGCAGCACAGUGUAGCAAUACAUGGGUGGCGACCGGCAAACGGGUGCGGAACACGUACACAACCUUCCUUUAAGCGGGGGAUAGCCCGGGGAAACCCGGAUUAAUACCCCAUAGUAUAUUAGAGUGGCAUCACUUUGAUAUUAAAGAUUUAUCACUUAAUGAUGGGUGUGCGUCUGAUUAGGUAGUUGGCGGGGUAGAAGCCCACCAAGCCUUCGAUCAGUAGCUGAUGUGAGAGCAUGAUCAGCCACACGGGCACUGAGACACGGGCCCGACUCCUACGGGA
rnacentral:rRNA from 1 species